GAUGAAGAACGCAGCGAAAUGCGAUAAGUAAUGUGAAUUGCAGAUUUCAGUGAAUCAUCGAAUCUUUGAACGCACAUUGCGCCCGCCAGUAUUCUGGCGGGCAUGCCUGUCUGAGCGUCAUUUCAACCCUCAUGCCCCUAGGGCGUGGUGUUGGGGAUCGGCCAAAGCCCGCGAGGGACGGCCGGCCCCUAAAUCUAGUGGCGGACCCGUCGUGGCCUCCUCUGCGAAGUAGUGAUAUUCCGCAUCGGAGAGCGAUGAGCCCCUGCCGUUAAACCCCCAACUUUCCAAGGUUGACCUCAGAUCAGGUAGGAAUACCCGCUGAACUUAAGCAUAUCAAUAAGCGGAGGA
rnacentral:misc_RNA from 1 species